GUCUUCCUGAUUCAGCAGCACGCUUAGCUGCACUAUCUGCCAUCCGAUUCCCUUUGGUUACAUCACCAUCUCCUCUCAGAUGCGCUCGACAAUGUAUAAUACCGACUUCUUUCGGCUCCCACACUGCUUCCAAUAGUUGUAGGAUCUCAGCUGCGUAUUUGAUUUCUUUGCCUUCUGAAUUCAAUAGUCCUCUUUCUUUAUACAAAGCUCCGUGGGUAUGAG